CAAAAUGUUACAUCUGUAACAAACCUAACUUUACAGAUACAUUAUCUAAUUCAUAUGAAGGGAUGAAAAUGCAACUUUUACCAAUCCAAUACAAUAUAUAUUAUAAAGAUUACCUUUGAGACAAGUUUCCAAAUGUGUUCUCCACCACAUGACACGCAUGAGACAACCUACAGCUGUCGAUAAUUUUUCUGUGAUUCUGGGAGCGAUGAGAAAAAAGGUUUCAUCAGCCAGGUUCUGACAGCAAAUGCGUUAUCGGCUACAAAAUGAUUUUUUUAUAUAGCAUGGCGUCCAGCGGGACAAAGCAGGAUGCACUGGCACGAUGACUUGCGCGGCAGUGCGGGGAUCAAAUUCGUGCAAGUGUGAAGGUGCCCUAAGGCUAAA